rnacentral:rRNA from 1 species
UGGGGAAUAUUGCACAAUGGGCGCAAGCCUGAUGCAGCCAUGCCGCGUGUAUGAAGAAGGCCUUCGGGUUGUAAAGUACUUUCAGCGGGGAGGAAGGCGAUAAGGUUAAUAACCUUGUCGAUUGACGUUACCCGCAGAAGAAGCACCGGCUAACUCCGUGCCAGCAGCCGCGGUAAUACGGAGGGUGCAAGCGUUAAUCGGAAUUACUGGGCGUAAAGCGCACGCAGGCGGUCUGUCAAGUCGGAUGUGAAAUCCCCGGGCUCAACCUGGGAACUGCAUUCGAAACUGGCAGGCUAGAGUCUUGGAGAGGGGGGUAGAAUUCCAGGUGUAGCGGUGAAAUGCGUAGAGAUCUGGAGGAAUACCGGUGGCGAAGGCGGCCCCCUGGACAAAGACUGACGCUCAGGUGCGAAAGCGUGGGGAGCAAACA